rnacentral:rRNA from 1 species
AGUGAACGCUGGCGGUAGGCCUAACACAUGCAAGUCGAACGGCAGCACAGUAAGAGCUUGCUCUUACGGGUGGCGAGUGGCGGACGAGUGAGGAAUACAUCGGAAUCUACUUUUUCGUGGGGGAUAACGUAGGGAAACUUACGCUAAUGCCGCAUACGACCUACGGGUGAAAGCAGGGGAUCUUCGGACCUUGCGCGAUUGAAUGAGCCGAUGUCGGAUUAGCUAGUUGGCGGGGUAAAGGCCCACCAAGGCGACGAUCCGUAGCUGGUCUGAGAGGAUGAUCAGCCACACUGGAACUGAGACACGGUCCAGACUCCUACGGGAGGCAGCAGUGGGGAAUAUUGGACAAUGGGCGCAAGCCUGAUCCAGCCAUACCGCGUGGGUGAAGAAGGCCUUCGGGUUGUAAAGCCCUUUUGUUGGGAAAGAAAAGCAGCAGGUUAAUACCCCGCUGUUCUGACGGUACCCAAAGAAUAAGCACCGGCUAACUUCGUG